CCUACGGGAGGCAGCAGUGGGGAAUAUUGCACAAUGGGGGAAACCCUGAUGCAGCGACGCCGCGUGAGUGAAGAAGUAAUUCGGUAUGUAAAGCUCUAUUAGCAGGGAAGAAAAUGACGGUAUCUGAGUAAAAAGCCCCGGCUAACUACGUGCCAGCAGCCGCGGUAAUACGUAGGGGGCAAGCGUUAUCCGGAUUUACUGGGUGUAAAGGGAGCGUAGACGGCAGUGCAAGUCUGGAGUGAAAGGCGGGGGCUCAACCCCCGGACUGCUCUGGAAACUGUACGGCUGGAGUGCAGGAGAGGUAAGUGGAAUUCCUAGUGUAGCGGUGAAAUGCGUAGAUAUUAGGAGGAACACCAGUGGCGAAGGCGGCUUACUGGACUGUAACUGACGUUGAGGCUCGAAAGCGUGGGGAGCAAACAGGAUUAGAUACCCGGGUAAUC
rnacentral:rRNA from 1 species